ensembl:lncRNA
AUGAAUGUGUCUUUUGUCCAGCUCGGCCGCCUCGGAUCUCACUGCCACCGGCCUUCACGCACACCCUCGCCACCAGCCUUUGCCCCGUCAGCCUCAGCCCCAGCUCAUUCUCUCAGGCAGUCCCAGCAUUGGCAUGGUACCUCCUCCCGCCGUGGGCCUCACGUCUCUGCUCCCUGUCAACCCUACUGCCAUCAGCAUCACCACAAGCGACUUGUCUGCCCAGGAGGAUGCAACACCAUCUACCUCUACCGGCCACCUUUCAGUGUUUUCUGCUUUCCAAGUAAAGACACCAGCAGUGCCCUCAGAGCGGACCAGCCAGAGAUUUUCCGAAGCCUCCCAUAUAGGCUCCUCCGUGGAGGAGGCCUGAGAUGCUGUCAUGACUUUGGAGCCAGGGUGGCCGACCACCUUGGCCUGGCCAUCUUUGGGGUGGGCUUUGGGAGCCCAGCACUGCUGCCGAGUGUGGUGGAUGAGAACGGCUGCUGCUUGCUGUACGUGGUGGAGCUGUGUGGCGUGGAGCGAGCCUUCAGAGCUGAGCAUUUGACCAACACCAGAGUGGUUCGGGAACAGGAUGCGGACAUUGUCCUCAACGACCAGCGGGAAGGGGGUGCUUUGCGAGAGGCUGCCGAGUUUGAAUUGUCAGGCUGCCCAGUCCUGCUUCGACGAAGCCGACGGACGUGGAAAGCCUUUGGUCUGUGGAUUUUACAAGUGGGAUUUUCCACAACGCUGCUGUGCGCGGCGUGGAUGCCACAUGCAUGUUGCUGGGGGACGCCACUUCGGACACUGUUUUCUCUGGGACAUGCCUUCUGCCCAGAUAUGGCUGCCUUAAAAGAUGCAGACACUGUUAUGAUCAGCAUGAAGUUUCCCUGUGGGGCUAUGGUCAGCGUGGACGUCAGCCAGCACCGUACAGACAGCUGUGACCAGGGAUUGGAGGUGCGUGGGUCCCAAGGCGCGCUGCAGAUGGAGAAUCAGAAUCCCUUGGGCAUCACCGGGCGGGGCACGUCCCUGUCCCUCGGCUCCCAGACCCAGGCUAGCCGCUACCAGGACUCGUAUCGAGAGCUCUUCAGCUACUUUGUCAGAACCCUUAAAGGGAAAGAACCUCCUGAAAUCACCAAAGAGCAGUUCCUCAGGGUCUUCCGGGUGGCUGCGGCCACGGAGCAGUCGUGGUGGAGCCGGUCAGCUGUGGCCCUGCCCUGCGAAUCGGCAGAGGCCUCCGUGGUGAAGACAGAAGCUCCGUGAACCAACCCGAGGCUGGAGACAAGAUCCUGCCCAAUAUCCAGUUGCCUGUUUCUCUUCUCACUGUUACUGAGAGAGGGAGACAGAACCUUCUGGCGAUCUUGUCCUCACUGGAGACUCAGAACAGGAAGCAUUGGGAAACCAUGUGUGUUUCAUUUCUGGUGCGACCAGGCUUUUCAGGAUGUGACUUCAGACUGAGGACACAAGUUGGGCUUGCUUAGCUGUUUUGUGUUGCGCGCCGGCCGCAGAGAUGCUCUUCCCGUCAGAGUUCCCUUGGCAGGGCCUCGGAGGCCUCUGGUUGGCUGUCUCAGGAAGAGGGCAGGUCAGGGAUUGGACAGUGUAAAUUGACCCAGAAACCUGCGGUUUCAGCUUUUCUGUGGCAAACAGGGCCGAGGGCUGGUGAAGCUGUUAAGACUAAAUGUGGCAUGCAUGAGGCAGACUGCAGGCCUCCUUAGGCCUUUUUUGGGGGUAAUUACACCAGUAUUUAAAAACAUUUUUUUUUGUUUGUUUUGAGACGGAGUCUCGCCCUGUCACCCAGGCUGGAGUGCAGUGGUGCAAUCUCGGCUCACUGCAACCUCUGCCUCCCGGGUUCAAGUGAUUCAUCUGCCUCAGCCUUCUGAGUAGCUGGGAUUACAGGCAUGCGCCACCACGCCCGGCUAAUUUUUGUGUUUUUAGUAGAGAUGGGGUUUCACCAUGUUGGCCAGGCUGGUCUCGAACUACUGACCUCAUGAUCCGCCUGCCACGGCCUCCCAAAGUGCUGGGAUUACAGGCGUGAGCCACCGUGCUCGGCCUAAAAAACAAUUUUCUUGAAGAAUCUGAUUUUGUGCAUAGUAAUGACACAGCACCAUUCCAGAGAAAUAGGAAAUAUAUGUGUGUGGUAUGAGAAGCCCAUAUUCUGUUCUUGUCGCCUGAAUCUAGGCUUCCUCUCUGGAUGUGAGCGCAGGAAUGAACGGCGGCUGUUUUCCGCCCAAAGGGGUGUGGAGACCUUUUGGAAACAGGCCUUCUCCUUUCCGUUUUGCAGCCAGGUGGUGGAAACCUUCCUUCGAAGGGUAGUGCCUUGGGGAGCAGCAGACCUGCUCCGAGUCCAGCUUAGCUUUCCAAAAUUCUGUGUGGAACCUACUGGAAAUGUUUUUAUAUAUUUGAAAAUCAUGGCGUGUAUUUCUCAUGCUAUAGUUAAAAAAAAUAACCUUUUAAACAAAGAUAUUCAAACUCACCCUUGUGCUAAAAGCGCUCACGUUUCUGUGUCCAUUCCUGAAAGGGCAUUUUAGAGUCCCCGUUUCUACGUUCUACAUGGCACCCUCUUGCCGAGGGAACAUCCCCAAUCCCCCCACUUCCUGUCUAGUUUGAGGCCUCAGCACUUUGGUGAUCCAGAGUUCUGUGGCUGUGAGGGGCUGGGCCCACCGCCGCCCAGCCCUUCUUGGUGGAUGUGGGGACAGGUAGGAGCCUAGGGAAAGGGGUGAGCGUUAGCCAGGAAGGUGGGGCCAAGGCCAGGCAUGGCGCCUCACCUGCACGUCACCUCACCUGCACCUCACCUCACCUGCACCUCACCUGUGGGGCAACUCAGUGGAGCUUCCUGGCGGCAUCUUUCCCUUUUGCCUUGGUCUUUUCUUUCCUUGUUUAAGGCCAAUUUCUAAAAAGACUGAGGCCUCCUUUGAGGUUGAACAGAUUUCUAGAGUCUUAUUUUUGCUGUGACAGGACCCUAGUCACUGUUCACAAGUCUGAAACCAAGAAACCUGAGAACCAAGAGAACUGAAACGAAGCCUCUGGGCUCAGCCUGGCUUGAGCCAGCACGAGGCUCUCUGCUGCCUUUUGUUUUCUUAGGUUUUGCUGAGAAACGAGGGUGCGUUCUGUGUGGGUGUCUGUGACACCUGGAGACCCUGCUUGGCCUCGCUGAAGUCCAGAAAGCCUGGGCCCCACAGGGCUUGGAUAAGGGCUCACGGGCCUGCACUUCAGGAGGCCUGAGAGGCCCAGUCAGUCCCAUGAGGCUACUCGGCUUGGCCCGCAGCUCCUCCGAGGCACAGGGCAGAGGGACACCCCAGGGACCCAUCAGACUCACGACACAGAGAAACGCAGGUGGGCUGCCGGGCCGGCCGCAGAGGCCACAGGCUUCCCGCCUGUGAGGAGCCGCCCUGUAUGUCUGAGCCCCUCGGAGAUGGAGGUUUAGUCAUGAGAACCAGUCAUUGGAACAUACACUUUAUUAUGUUACAAAAACAAAAAUUCCCACCGAAACACAGCUAAAAAAAUAACACAUUUUCCCACGAUUACAUUACCAAGAACAGCUGUCACGCCAUUGGAGGGCGCCCGUUAAUACUGCUCGGAGAAGCACCAGCCUACACGGACACACAGAUGCGGUCGCGUGUCCACCCUAAAGCAUUAAAGUGCUUUAACUGGGAACAGAGGAGUGGAUGUUUGUGCGUUGGAGACACUGACUGUUCCGAGUGACAGGUGUCUCUGUGCCAGGAUACUGCGAGUCGGGCCCCUGGGUACAGCAAGGGCUUCCCAGCAGCCCAGGCCUGGUGGGAACGCUGGGGGGAUGGGGGAGAGUCGCUGUUUCUGACCAGAGUGACUCGGACGGACGUGAGCUGACCUGCCUGGUGAGCUCCUCCUGCCUGGCCUCUCUGAGCAGACUCAGGACCACUGCCCGUCCCCCUCAGCUCCAGGAGUGCCGGCAGCCUCCCUCCUACCCCUGCACUGCCGGGAAAACCAUCUGCCUUCAAGAUUUAUUUGUUGAUUUGUUUAGUUGUAUAAAAAACAUCGCUUAAAGGAUUCUUGUUCCUGGGAAUUUGCAUUUUCUCCUAACCACGGCAAAGUCUCGACUCCGUUUACUUUCACAGCUGCUUCUCCAGCGCAAGGAGGCUGCGCGGGCUCGCUGUACAGGUGCAGCUGGGGCCAUCUGGCUGCUCCGUGUUCUGACCGGCUUCUUGGACAUCUGGCUGGGGUUCCAGUGACAGCUGCCCCUGGGCCUCUCCCUGCUCUGUGCCACCCACCCCCCCAGCAGCACACUACAGGGGCUCUUGGGACAGCCUCACUGGACUCGGCGCACAGGGAACAUGCCUAAGAAACAACUCAACAACCCCCUGGAAUUGCAGCGCAUCUGUGCUGGGCUCGGGAACCCGAGUGUCGGGAUGGGCCCCCGCCGCUCUAGAAGCGGAGCAUGGGGCAGAGUGGGGCUUCAGGAGGUGGACUCGGGUAGCAGGUGCCCAGCCCCCAGGAGAUGGGCGUGAUGCCUGGGGCACGGGUCUUAGCCUUUCUGGCCUCAGCUUCCUCAUCUACGAAAUGGCAGUAAGAUGGAGAGCUGAGGUGACAUGCAGCUGGGGUGGCUGCGCCACCCUGGGAAAGCCCUGAGUCCGCUGCUGCUGCCCCUACUGACUGAUGCCCUGGGUGUGGGCACCUUUCUAGGGAGAUGGAACCUCAGAAGCUGAGCAACCAGAGCCUGCCCUUCGGCUAGAAGGAGCUAGAAAGAAGGGCCAGGCUCUCGCCCUGGCUGCAGCCAGAUCCCCUGAGAGGCGGCAGUCCCGUUCUUGCUGCCCCCACAAACGUGCACCCAGGCGGCUGUGCUGUCACUGGCCCCCGGGGAGGUGGACAGUGGGGGAGAGGGACGCCUGCGUCUUCGUAGACCAGGCACCUGCGGCAACACCAGUCGCUGCUUUUAAAUAAGGGGAGGCUGGUGACGGUGAUGCCACUCAGCAAGAUGGAGUCCUGAUCUGGGGAUGGGGGCUGUGUCUAACCUUGCUGUGCCCUGGGGGGCUUAACUGCUUCUGGGAGAUGUUAGUGGGGGAAGCUCCUAGCCCUUAGGAGCUGAUGCCACACAUACCCUAGGCAGAGGGUGUGGAGCUGGCCGGGUCAGAAGGGGCCAAGCAGCCUGCACUCUGGGUGGUGUCUCAGCUUACGUGAGUGAGGCGGUCCUGCAGAAUACAGUGUGCUGGGAGCAGAGGCCACUCCCAAGUCCAGCAGAGAGAGUCCCCAGCCCCCGGCACAGGCAAGAUGCAGUCAGGGACAUUCCCUGAAAAUACACGGUGUUUCAGACGCAGUCACUUGGCUGCUCACCACUCUCCACUGGCCCACCUGCCUGG